rnacentral:rRNA from 1 species
CAGUACCGCGGUAAAACGUAGGUGGCAAGCGUUGUCCGGAAUUAUUGGGCGUAAAGGGCUCGCAGGCGGUUUCUUAAGUCUGAUGUGAAAGCCCCCGGCUCAACCGGGGAGGGUCAUUGGAAACUGGGAAACUUGAGUGCAGAAGAGGAGAGUGGAAUUCCACGUGUAGCGGUGAAAUGCGUAGAGAUGUGGAGGAACACCAGUGGCGAAGGCGACUCUCUGGUCAGUAACUGACGCUGAGGAGCGAAAGCGUGGGGAGCGAACAGGAUUAGAUACCCCUGUAGUCCCUGUCUCUUAUACA